GAAGCGUGCAAGUGUGCGGUGGGAUUUGUGCGGGAUUCGAUUAGGAGUUGAGUGCAUUUGUCUUCAGCUAAAGUGGAGAUUCACCUGAAAGUGAAUCGGAUGGGAUUCAUACCAGCGAAGCUUAUCGGGGCCAUUCAUCCCAACUGAAGGAAGACACGGGCAGGUGAUUGGACUGCUCCAAUAGAGGGGAGACCACGAGCCAGAUGGCAAAGUUAAUGGGAGCAGACACCCCCAGCGCUUUCAAAGAAGUCACUCCUUCAGUG